rnacentral:rRNA from 1 species
AGUGAACGCUGGCGGUAGGCCUAACACAUGCAAGUCGAAGGGCAGCACAGUAAGAGCUUGCUCUUACGGGUGGCGAGUGGCGGACGGGUGAGGAAUACAUCGGAAUCUACUUUUUCGUGGGGGAUAACGUAGGGAAACUUACGCUAAUACCGCAUACGACCUACGGGUGAAAGCAGGGGAUCUUCGGACCUUGCGCGAUUGAAUGAGCCGAUGUCGGAUUAGCUAGUUGGCGGGGUAAAGGCCCACCAAGGCGACGAUCCGUAGCUGGUCUGAGAGGAUGAUCAGCCACACUGGAACUGAGACACGGUCCAGACUCCUACGGGAGGCAGCAGUGGGGAAUAUUGGACAAUGGCGCAAGCCUGAUCCAGCCAUACCGCGUGGGUGAAGAAGGCCUUCGGGUUGUAAAGCCCUUUUGUUGGGAAAGAAAAGCAGCAGGUUAAUACCCCGCUGUUCUGACGGUACCCAAAGAAUAAGCACCGGCUAACUUCGUG